GACGAACGCUGGCGGCGUGCUUAACACAUGCAAGUCGAACGGAAAGGCCCUGCCUUUGUGGGGUGCUCGAGUGGCGAACGGGUGAGUAACACGUGAGUAACCUGCCCUUGACUUUGGGAUAACUUCAGGAAACUGGGGCUAAUACCGGAUAGGAGCUCCUGCUGCAUGGUGGGGGUUGGAAAGUUUCGGCGGUUGGGGAUGGACACGCGGCUUAUCAGCUUGUUGGUGGGGUAGUGGCUUACCAAGGCUUUGACGGGUAGCCGGCCUGAGAGGGUGACCGGCCACAUUGCGACUGAGAUACGGCCCAGACUCCAACGGGAGGCAGCAGUGGAGAGUAUUGCACAAUGGGCGGAAGCCUGAUGCAGCAACGCCGCGUGCGGGAUGACGGCCUUCGGGUUGUAAACCGCUUUCGCCUGUGACGAAGCGUGAGUGACGGUAAUGGGUAAAGAAGCACCGGCUAACUACGUG
rnacentral:rRNA from 1 species